GAUGAACGCUGGCGGCGUGCCUAAUACAUGCAAGUCGAGCGAAUGGAUUGAGAGCUUGCUCUUAUGAAGUUAGCGGCGGACGGGUGAGUAACACGUGGGUAACCUGCCCAUAAGACUGGGAUAACUCCGGGAAACCGGGGCUAAUACCGGAUAACAUUUUGAACCGCAUGGUUCGAAAUUGAAAGGCGGCUUCGGCUCUCACUUAUGGAUGGACCCGCGUCGCCUUAGCUAGUUGGUGAGGUAACGGCUCACCAAGGCAACGAUGCGUAGCCGACCUGAGAGGGUGAUCGGCCACACUGAGACUGAGAAACGGCCCAGACUCCUACGGGAGGCAGCAGUAGGGAAUCUUCCGCAAUGGACGAAAGUCUGACGGAGCAACGCCGCGUGAGUGAUGAAGGCUUUCGGGUCGUAAAACUCUGUUGUUAGGGAAGAACAAGUGCUAGUUGAAUAAGCUGGCACCUUGACGGUACCUAACCAGAAAGCCACGGCUAACUACGUGCCAGCCGCCGCAGUAA
rnacentral:rRNA from 1 species